AAACUAUGAAAAUUAACGUCAGGAGACGAACAUGUAAUUUUGAAUUUUUUCGGAGCCUUGCAUUGAGAAAUUCUUUCUACAUCACUAAAUGCAGCUAUUCUACCCGUAUUUUUGUAAAAUUAUUAUUUCAAUUAUUAUAUUAUUACUACAAUGAUGACGUGCAGUAUACGGUUAACAGGCUUUGUAGCCGUGGGAUCAAAUUCGGAACAAAAGAUAAUGCCUCGUGAAAAAAUCG